GCUACGGGUGGCAGCAGUGAGGAAUAUUGGUCAAUGGCCGGGAGGCUGAACCAGCCAAGUCGCGUGAGGGAAGACGGCCCUACGGGUUGUAAACCUCUUUUGUCAGGGAGCAAGGGGCAGGUCGGGACCUGCUGUGAGAGAAACUGAAGAAAAAGCAUCGGCUAACUCCGGGCCAGCAGCCGCAGUAAUACGGAGGCGGCGAGCGAUAACCGGAUUUAUUGGGUUUAAAGGGUACGCAGGCGGAGGCACAAGUCCGCGGUAAAAUCGCGGGGCUCAACCCCGCUCCGCCGUUGAAACUGUGUCCCUUGAGUGCGCGAAGGGUAGGCGGAAUGCGUGGUGUAGCGGUGAAAUGCAUCGAUAUCACGCAGAACUCCGAUCGCGAAGGCAGCCUACCGGCGCGCAACUGACGCUCAUGCACGAAAGCGUGGGUAUCGAACAGGAUUAGAUACCCUUGUAGUC
rnacentral:rRNA from 1 species